ACUCGAAGUACUGAGGAUUUCGAGAAUAUCUCUCAGGGUGAUUUUAGGGGAAUUUGUCAGUGCUCCUGAAAAUAGGAUUGAGAAGAUGUGGUCCGGUCCCAGGCGUAACUACUGAGGGCGUCAGGAACCAGGCCUCCUCUUUGCUGAGAGCUGUAGAUUGGGAGGACCAACCGCAGACCAGGAGCUACCCUCUGCUGAGAGCUGAGCACUUGUCCAGACGACCUGCCUACAGAGAAGAGCUACCCACUGCUGGUCUCUGAGGUCUCUGCUGUUCUAACACUUAAUAAAGCUCCUCUUCCUAUUGCUCACC